UUAGACAGUCCUAAAUACCUUGAAAGCACCAGAUCCUGACUGGUCUUGGAAGCUAAGCAGGGAUAUCCCCAGUUAGUGCUUAGAUGGGAGACCACCAGGUGAUAUAAGCUAUAUAUGAG
rnacentral:rRNA from 1 species